rnacentral:rRNA from 1 species
ACGGCAGGCUUACACAUGCAAGUCGAGGGGUAACAGAGGAGCUUGCUCUUGCUGACGACCGGCGCACGGGUGCGUAACGCGUAUACAAUCUGCCUUACACUAAGGGAUAGCCCAGAGAAAUUUGGAUUAACACCUUAUAGUUUAUUUUUAUGGCAUCAUUUAAAUAAUAAAGUUUACGGUGUAAGAUGAGUAUGCGUCCCAUUAGUUUGUUGGUAAGGUAACGGCUUACCAAGACUACGAUGGGUAGGGGCCCUGAGAGGGGGAUCCCCCACACUGGUACUGAGACACGGACCAGACUCCUACGGGAGGCAGCAGUGAGGAAUAUUGGACAAUGGAGGAGACUCUGAUCCAGCCAUGCCGCGUGCAGGAAGACGGUCCUAUGGAUUGUAAACUGCUUUUAUACAGGAAGAAUAAGGACUACGUGUAGUCUGGUGACGGUACUGUAAGAAUAAGGACCGGCUAACUCCGUGCCAGCAGCCGCGGUAAUACGGAGGGUCCGAGCGUUAUCCGGAAUUAUUGGGUUUAAAGGGUCCGUAGGCGGGCUGUUAAGUCAGGGGUGAAAGUUUGCAGCUCAACUGUAGAAUUGCCUUUGAUACUGAUGGUCUUGAAUUAUUGUGAAGUGGUUAGAAUAUGUAGUGUAGCGGUGAAAUGCAUAGAUAUUACAUAGAAUACCGAUUGCGAAGGCAGAUCACUAACAAUUGAUUGACGCUGAUGGACGAAAGCGUGGGUAGCGAACAGGAUUAGAUACCCUGGUAGUCCACGCCGUAAACGAUGGAUACUAGCUGUUUGGAUUUCGAUCUGAGCGGCCAAGCGAAAGUGAUAAGUAUCCCACCUGGGGAGUACGUUCGCAAGAAUGAAACUCAAAGGAAUUGACGGGGGCCCGCACAAGCGGUGGAGCAUGUGGUUUAAUUCGAUGAUACGCGAGGAACCUUACCAGGGCUUAAAUGUAGAUUGACAGGUUAGAGAUAGACUUUCCUUCGGGCAAUUUACAGGUGCUGCAUGGUUGUCGU